AAGAAAGUGACAGAGGGGUUGUUGUGGUUGGCUUGAAACCAGCAUACGGGGGUUCAAAUCCCUCCUUUCUCG
rnacentral:tRNA from 1 species